ensembl:lncRNA
UGCAGAUGCUGACAUCUUUAGGGUCUUAAAGUGUCUUUAGAAAGGAAAAAGUACACUGGGAUGAGAUGACAGUGACAUGAAAUGUCGGUGGUUGUUGGGUGAAUGGAGGUGUAAUAAAUUGGAUGAAUGUGGGAUUUAGAUUUUUAAAUAUUGAUUUGUAAUUGUUUUUCUCAUAACUGUUCAUCUUACAAGAAUGUCAGGUGUGCAUGUUUGUUCCCAGACGUUGAACCGAGACAUUACUUAAGAAAGAAUUGUAUUCCGUCAUCUCCCAAACUGUAGUCGCUGUCGACACUUGUCCAAGUUGCUUUGUCAAAUUCUAGUGUCACCCUGCAGCAGUGUACAGCUCUGCAAGGCUUUGUACUGGGCACACAUAUUUUCUACAGACAAACUGUAGGUUAAGCGUUUGGCGUUAGUGUUUUUCUGGUCCCCCUGUUAUGCUUUGGAAGAAUUUAAAUUCUGUUUUGCUGGUUGAUGCUUCUUUUACCAAGAGGGAACAUUUAACCUUGUUUGACUGAAGUGAUACAAGCAGAAAGGGGGAGAGGAAAUGUAGGCGAGAGGCGUUAAGAGGGAGGAUGAGGAAAAGACACAUCGGCAAAACAGGGAUUAAUGAAUUGUUUCAGGGGAAAUCUAGAAAAAGGUAAGACAAUGAUUCAGUUCACUUGAGGGAAAUGGAAUACUUCAUAAUCAUUUGAUUCUAUUGCAUGUUUAAAAUAAAGGGUAGCAUGUUAGUAUUCCACUAACCAUAAAGGUGGGGGACUUGUAUGGGACAGAAUUUGUAACCAAUGGCAUAUUAUCCUGACAUUUAGUUCCUUCUAUAGUGAGUAAGAUCGACAACUGCGCCUUUUCUGAGGCAAAAAUUAGUAGUGGGUUGCUAUUGAGCCCCCUGGCACACUUUCCCCCCUUAAACAAACUGCUAUUUCUAUGCUGGAGUAUUAUGGAGCCAAAUCCAGGUCAAAGGUUUUGAUCAUUUGACAAAUAAAUGUGAACCUGAAAGUUUAAGUUUUGGUCUUGAACAUAAAAAAAUACAACAAUGUAUUCAAAAUAAAAAUGAGUGGACGAAAAGUAUUUUUGGGUUGAAUAUAGUUUUUUUGAAUAAAAUAUUUUUUUCAAUCUUCACAUAUAAUUAUUUUUUGAUAUUCGUUUUAAUUUUGAAUACAUUGUUGUAUUUUUCAAUGUUCAACAACAAAGCAACAGGUUCACAUUAGUUUUUUCUGGAUUUGGCUCCAUAAAUAGGCUUUGUACUGACGUUUGUAUACAGAAAACCAUCUGUAAAGUUUGAAGUUAUAUUUACCAAAUGUUCUGUGCUCACAGGCAGUAGGAACAGGACCAGGACUCUAUUCUCCGUCACACUGGAAGUUUUACUCAACACGGCGACAUCCCAGUGGCUCUUUAUAAUCCCCCUAAUGCUUUGCUUCCUGAACCAGCGGAGACUGGCAGCUCGAGUGGCUUGCUGUCAUGUGGCGCUCCGUUGCAGCGUUAUUGCGCCAAACUGCUUUGGCCCGGGAUAUUUUUGGCUUCCACCUUGUCUUAAUCCUGUUGCGAUUCUCCAAUGGAUUAUUCAUGCUUCCUCUCUCCUCUCCCAUCUUCCCCCGUCCUAUUCUCCAGUGCACCGCCCUUCAGCGACACCACCCCCAUAUAUAUAUAUAUAUAUAUAUACACAUAAGCUGCUGGGGGUGGUGUUGCUGAAGGGCUGUGUAUAUCAUUUGUAUAUCAGUUGUAUAUCAUUUAUGAAUUUAUUAGGUUGUAUAUUACAUCUGCAGUUCUCCUCAUACUCCACAAACAUGCAAAUGACUUUGUUAAUGAAUCAAUAAUAAUUCUUAGCACCACUACUUACCUUUUAAGGUGUCACUCCACUAAAAAGUCCACUGGGGGACGCACUCUGCGAGUGAGCGCAUGCGUUAGACCAGGGGGGGAUCGACAGCGUCGUUCCUCCAGGCAGGAGCGUCCAUUAGAAAAUGACCCCCCCCCGUUGACCGUAUCAUUGCCGAGGAUUGGACUGGUCAGUAUGUGGCCCCCUGCCUUACACACUGUGACAUGUAUGUUGUGACAGGAAGUAAUUAUCUGAGAAUACGGUGCGAGCGUGUUCUCUUGCACCACGUCCAUCAUGUUGCUGUGCCAUAUUUCUACUACUAAAACUACAACAGCAUGAUGUCCACUUCCAUAAACAAUGGUCCCAUUUUGAGUCGAUUGGACAUACAGCAGGGUGUGCUUUAGGGCGGGGCCACCUUAUUAUGACUAUUAUCUUCCUAUAACAUUGAGCUUUUAGGUCAUGAAGGUCUUGUUAUGACCACUUUAGUGACUCUCAGCCGCUCCUCUAGAUGGCACCAAAUGCUACACACUGGUCCUUUAAGUACAACGUUUGGGACACUGUGGUACUUAGUAGUAUUCUGCUGACAAUCUCUACGUACAGAUAUUGUUUUCACAUUUAAAGCGCAUUUAAAAAAAUCUGCAGGCUUAGUAAGGAUGUUAAGUCUGCUUCAGAACUGGUGUAGCUGCAAGGUGGCAGGCAUGUAUUCUAGAAUGAUAACUUCCAAAUCUCUAGAAUAUAUAAAUAGCACAAAAAAAUCAAAUCUAAUUGAAGAGAGAACUUUCAAUACGUGUUUGUUACCCUUUGUCUUUCAAAUCUAGUGAUUUUGGUUGUUUGUUAUUCUCAGCUGAACGUGAAACAAAGCCAAUAACAAAUCAGGAGCAAAUAAUCAAGCAGUCUUCCAUAAAUAGACAUCUGGGGAAAAGUCCAACAGAACAGACCUCUUGGACAUCAAGCUUAGCUAACAAACUAAAUGGAGACGUGUCAGAAUAAAACCGCCAAGGUCAACAUGUCAUCCCGAGUCCUCUUUCUAACAUGCGGCAUUGAUUGAGCUCCUCUCAACAUCUGGAUGUGUGAAUUUGAGCCCAGACUCACACACCGGAUGCGUUUCUCUAGUGAGGAACAACCAGUCAGAGGACCACGUACGUUUCUACUUAUUAGAAGAAGUAUGCUUCUGAAUGCUCUGAAUAUUUCAAAUGUUAACCCUCUUUAUACUGCCUGCUAUGUUAAAGCUAUAAAUAGUAUGCAUAUGAUCAAACUUUUUUACUUGACAGGAAAAUACAUGAUUUUCAUUAAAAAAAGCUUUUGUCUAUGAAAUACCU